CCGCGUCCCGGCUGGACCGUAAGGUAGAAGGUGCGGAAGCGCGGUUGAAUGGAAGAGGGGGACGGCCAGCGGCGGGGGGAAAGCAGGAGGGGAGGGGCAUGUUUCAAUUCUGCCCCUCCUCCUCCUCUUCUUCGUUGGUAGAAAGGUCUCUUCCAUCCCCCCCACCCCCUGCCCCAAUCAAGCCAUGCUGACCGCGGCUUGGUUGGUCAAAGGCAGCGCUUGGGGGUGGGGUCUUCUGCGGAGCGCGAGCCCGGGACGGUGUUUGGGGGCUACCGUAGCAGCCGCCGCGGCGAGGAGCCGAAGAGGUGGCGAGUGCUGGAGCGGCCCUCCAGCUAGGCUCGCGGCCUCGUCAAGCAGCCUCGCGGAGUGCCACUCCCCGUCUUUCCCGGGCACGGGUCGACGUCUGCUACUGCGCGUGCGUCCUCCCAGCCCCAAGCAUCUAGGCACUGCAUCUUGGGCGCCCCCUUUCGGUUGCUCCUCCGGCGGACCUGGGCAGCCUCACUGCUCGCGCGCCGGCUGCGGGGGCAACACCCGGCGCGCGGCGGAGUCCUCUGAACGACCUGAUGCUGGAAAAACAGAGCGUCGCGGAUACGCUGAACUGUAUGAAAACCCUUGGACUAUCCCUAAUCUACUUUCAGUGGCAAGGAUUGGUUUGGCCCCUAUUUUGGGCUAUUUGAUUAUUGAAGAAGAUUUUAAUGUAGCACUGGGGGUGUUUGCCCUGGCUGGAAUAACAGAUCUGUUGGACGGUUUUAUUGCACGAAACUGGGCCAAUCAGAAAUCUGCCUUGGGAAGUGCCUUGGACCCUCUGGCUGAUAAAAUCCUUAUCAGUAUCCUAUAUAUUAGCUUGACUUGUGCAAAUCUUAUUCCAGUUCCUCUUACAUCAAUGAUAAUUCUAAGGGACAUUACAUUAAUUGCUGCUGUUUUCUAUGUUCGAUACAAAACUCUUCCUCCACCGAAGACAUUAAGUAGAUAUUUCAAUCCAUGCUACGUCACUGCUCAGUUAAAACCAACAUUCAUCAGCAAGGUGAACACAGUAGUACAGCUCAUCUUAGUAGCAGCUUCUUUAGCUGCCCCAGUUUUCAAUUAUGUGGACAGUGUGUAUCUUCAGACUUUAUGGUGCAUCACAGCUUUCACAACAACUGCAUCUGCAUACAGUUACUAUCAUUAUGGUCGAAAAACAGUUCAGGUGCUAAACGAUAAAUGAAGUUUUGCAGAAUGACUGUUCUCCUCUCAUUCAAUUUGUGGGGAGUUUAUGCAGAGACUCUGAAUGAUACUUUUGCCUAUGCCUUCACGGUGUGAAAAUGAAGUUUUGAUCAUAAUUGGAUCAGACGUGCUUAAUGAUGUGCGAACAAAUAAUGUUUCACAUGUGGUAAGCAAUUACCUGAAUAUAAAAAUACCUGCUAAGCUGAAAAUAAUGUGAAAAUAUUGCAUUAAACAGCACAGUAGAAAUGGUUUUGCUGUAGAAACGAAGGGUGAGAGUCGGAAUGGUUGGAAUAUUCUAUGCAUUAUACAGUAUUUUUAAAACACAUUUUAUAUAUCUCAAUUUUAUAAAGUUUAUAUGCUGAAAAUAUUUUUUGAUAGUUUAUACAAAAUCAGGCUGCUGCAAUCUGAUUGUAUUGCGGUCUAUAAAGUUUUCCCCCUAUUUUAUCAAGAGAAAAUAGGCGAUAUGCUACAAAACCACAGAAUAUAUUAUAUUCCUUCAACCAGAUAAGCAUAAAUGUUUCCAAUGCCAAAAUGCAAGAAAUUUGAAAAUGAAUACUUAUGCAUGUUUGUCUACAGUCGUUGCCUUUGCACUUUCAAAAUAAAUCCUUUAAACUAC